GUCCCUAUCGUCUAGUCUGGCCCAGGACACCGCCCUUUCACGGCGGCAACGGGGGUUCGAAUCCCCCUGGGGACGCCA
rnacentral:tRNA from 1 species